rnacentral:rRNA from 1 species
GAUGAACGCUGGCGGCGUGCCUAAUACAUGCAAGUCGAGCGACGCGGGGACGAGUGAGUAACACGUGGAUAACCUCCUAUAAGACUGGGAUUAACUCGGGAAACCGGAGCUAAUACGGAAUCUUAUCGCUGGAUCUGCUCUGCAUUAGCUAGUUGGUAAGGUAACGGCUUACCUAGUCAACGAUGCAUAGCCGACCUGAGAGGAUGAUCAGCCAAACGGGAACUGAGACACGGUCCAGAGUCCGACGGGAGGCAGCAGUAGGGAAUAUUCCGCAAUGGGCGAAAGCCUGACGGAGCAACGCCGCGUGAGUGAUGAAGGUCUUCGGAUCGUAAAGCUCUGUUAGUAGGGAAGCGGUACCUAAUCAGAAAGCAACGGCUAACUACGUGCCAGCAGCCGCGGUAAUUC